UGCUGCCGUUUCACGUUUGAUGGAAGUAACAGUUAUUCUAAUAUAUCCCACCGUUAUAUUUUUACUGCGGCAAUCGGCAAAUUUAAUCAUUUUAAUUUUGAACACAUGGUCUUGUACAGCUUCUGACAAUCCUCACGGCAAGAAUGACAUCUUCGGCAUUUCGCAAACUGUAUACACUUGUUAAAUGCGAUCAACAGGAAGUGAUUUCUCAG
rnacentral:misc_RNA from 1 species